rnacentral:tRNA from 1 species
GGCAGUGUGGCAGACUGGUCAGUGAGUCGGGCUUGCGACACUGAGGUGGUGGGUUCGAUUCCCCAACUGCUGUCA